GGCGGGAUAGCUCAGUUGGCAAGAGCACACGGUUCAUACCCGUGGUGUCGCUGGUUCGAAUCCAGUUCCCGCUA
rfam:Clostridium sp. CAG:167 genomic scaffold, scf354